CCUACGAGUGGCAGCAGUGAGGAAUAUUGGUCAAUGGGCGGAAGCCUGAACCAGCCAAGUAGCGUGCAGGAUGACGGCCCUACGGGUUGUAAACUGCUUUUAUACGGGAAUAACGCGCCUUACGUGUAGGGCUUUGCAGGUACCGUAUGAAUAAGGACCGGCUAAUUCCGUGCCAGCAGCCGCGGUAAUACGGAAGGUCCGGGCGUUAUCCGGAUUUAUUGGGUUUAAAGGGAGCGUAGGCCGCAUGUCAAGCGUGCUGUAAAAUGUCCGGGCUCAACCCGGGCCUUGCAGCGCGAACUGGCGUGCUUGAGUCCGCGGAAAGCAGGCGGAAUUCGUCGUGUAGCGGUGAAAUGCUUAGAUAUGACGAAGAACCCCGAUUGCGAAGGCAGCUUGCUGCAGCGGAACUGACGCUGAUGCUCGAAAGCGCGGGUAUCGAACAGGAUUAGAUACCCGGGUAGUC
rnacentral:rRNA from 1 species